rnacentral:rRNA from 1 species
CCUACGGGUGGCAGCAGUGGGGAAUAUUGGGCAAUGGGCGCAAGCCUGACCCAGCAACGCCGCGUGAAGGAAGAAGGCUCUCGGGUUGUAAACUUCUUUUAUCAAGGACGAAACAAAUGACGGUACUUGAUGAAUAAGCCACGGCUAACUACGUGCCAGCAGCCGCGGUAAUACGUAGGUGGCAAGCGUUAUCCGGAUUUACUGGGUGUAAAGGGCGUGUAGGCGGGACUGCAAGUCAGAUGUGAAAACCAUGGGCUCAACCCAUGACCUGCAUUUGAAACUGUUGUUCUUGAGUGUGGGAGAGGCAGGCGGAAUUCGGGGUGUAGCGGUAAAAUGCGUAGAGAUACGGAGGAACACUAGUGGCGAAGGCGGCCUGCUAGACAUUAACUGACGCUGAGGCGCGAAAGCGUGGGGAGCAAACAGGAUUAGAUACCCGUGUAGUC